UACGUAGGGGCCUAGCGUUGUCCGGAAUUAUUGGGCGUAAAGAGCUCGUAGGCGGUUCGGUAAGUCGGAUGUGAAAUCUCCACGCUCAACGUGGAGGGGCCAUUCGAUACUGCCGUGACUCGAGUCCGGUAGGGGAGUGUGGAAUUCCCGGUGUAGCGGUGAAAUGCGCAGAGAUCGGGAGGAACACCCGUAGCGAAGGCGGCACUCUGGGCCGGUACUGACGCUGAGGCGCGAAAGCGUGGGGAGCAAACAGG
rnacentral:rRNA from 1 species